UACGAAGGGGGCUAGCGUUGUUCGGAAUUACUGGGCGUAAAGCGCACGUAGGCGGAUCUGUAAGUAGGGGGUGAAAUCCCCGGGCUCAACCCGGGAACUGCCUUCUAGACUGCAGACCUUGAGAUCAGGAGAGGCGAGCGGAAUUCCGAGUGUAGAGGUGAAAUUCGUAGAUAUUCGGAGGAACACCAGUGGCGAAGGCGGCUCGCUGGACUGAUACUGACGCUGAGGUGCGAAAGCGUGGGGAGCAAACAGG
rnacentral:rRNA from 1 species